rnacentral:rRNA from 1 species
UACGGAGGGUGCAAGCGUUAUCCGGAUUCACUGGGUUUAAAGGGUGCGUAGGAGGGCAGGUAAGUCAGCGGUGAAAUCCCCGAGCUUAACUUGGGAACUGCCGUUGAUACUAUCUGUCUUGAAUAUCGUGGAGGUGAGCGGAAUAUGUCAUGUAGCGGUGAAAUGCUUAGAUAUGACAUAGAACACCAAUUGCGAAGGCAGCUCGCUACACGAAUAUUGACUCUGAGGCACGAAAGCGUGGGGAUCAAACAGG